CCGCAGGAGCGGCCCAAGAAAUGGCAAAAAGACCAAAAAAAAAAAAAAAAAAGUUCUUAUGAUUGAUCAAAGAAAAAACAGGUUCUUUGGAUUCUUUGUGGCAGGAAACAUUGAGCUCACCUUUUGGGGAAACAACUUAUAGGCAAAAUAAAGAAGCUUCUUGACAAUAAACCAUUCUAGCAGCAUUUUUCAAAAUAUGACCCAUGGACUGGGGAAGGGUGAGAAAGAGUGAGAAAGAGGACUAUUAAUAAUUAUGCUGUAAACCAUGUAGGCAGGUGUAAACUGGGACUGUCCUGGGCAAAUGGGGCUUGACUGACCAUGGAAUGACCAGCAGAAUUGCCUGAGAUCCUGGUUAAAUGCAGGUUGCUGGGCUCUGCCUCAGCCCUGCUGUUUCAGAUUCUUUGAGGUGAAGGCCUAGGAGUCUUUAGCUUAACAAAUGCCCCAGGAACAUUCUUUUUAAAAAGUUGGGAAAUGCAGCCAUAUGGAUUAGGCAGAAGGUAAAAAACGUGAAAUUUUCAAUUAAAGAGCUAUUAGUUCCAUGGUUCCUUCUGAGGAGCUGGUGCAACACUGACACCAGAACCUAGUGCCUCCAAAGACACUUGGCUGCGAUUAGGUACUUCCUGAAUAACGGAGAUGGUGUCUUCAUAUUUACCAAUGUGUCAUUCUUUCACUAAAUAUUCAGUGAUGAACGGGCAUCUUUUAAAAUUUUGAGAGCCACGUAAUUGCUGUCUGUAUGUUCAUCACUAAUAAGAGACAAAACUUCUAGAAAGUUCGAGGCAAGAAACUUGGGUUUGGGAGUUCCCGUCGUGGCUCAGUGGUAAUGAACCCGACGAGUAUCCAUGAGGACUCAGGUUGGACCCAUGGCCUCGCUCAGUGGGUUAAGGAUCCCGAGUUGCCAUGAGCUGUGGUGUAGGUCACAGACACAGCUCGGAUCCCGUGUUGCUGUGGCUCUGGUACAGGCCAGCAGCUCUGAUUUGACCUCCAUAUGCUGUGGGCGGGACCCUAAAAAGAUCAAAAAGAAACUUGGGUUUGAAUGAGUCUUGGGGGGUAUUAAUGUCAGAAAAUUAACACUUUUAGCUCUGCUACCAGCUGGCUGUGCUUCAGUUUGUCAUCUAUUAAAUUAGGGAGCUGGACUGCCUGGUUCCAGGGUUCUUUGCAGGUCUGAUGUUUUAGGGCCCUCUCUAGAACCUAAAAUGGGAAGCAGUUACGAAUCAACUGCUUUCAUGUUGUGAUGUAUUUUGCCCAAAAAAUGCCAAACCUGUGACUCUUGAAAGUGACAGUGGUUUUAGAAUUUUGAAAUUGUCCAUCUGUAUUUUACCCACAGUCACUAUGCUAACACAUCAUUCACAAUGAGGAAGAGCAUUCUCGUAGAAGCCACUUCCGCCCUGUUUUGAAAUUCAGAAAGUAAGUAUGGUUUAGACUCACAGAAGAGACCCUCACUGAAGAGUCUGCGGUCCCAUGAAAUUACUGCAGAGCAUUGCCCUGUAGUGUCCAUUUUUACUUCCUUGUCCUUCAUUUCAAAAUGCUUUCUGAAGGCUUGACAACAGCAAAAGAAUGUUUGCAAAUGAUUAUGCGCUGAUAUUGUCAGAUGUCCCCUUCAUAAUAACACGGAGAUGUAUUCUUCGAUCACAUGGAUAAGUCAUGAAGCAUCGCGUAGGAGGUGUUGCCUCUGGGAAGGGUUUCUCUAGACCACUGUCCACCACUAGAACUCUGAUGAUGGGCAUGUGUUCUAUCUUUUCCGUCCAAUAUGGUCACCACUAGCCACCUGCACACUUAAAAUGUGGUGAGUUCAACCGGGGAGCUGAAUUUUUAAUUGGUGUUCAUCUAUUUUUAAAUAGCCACCUGUGGUUAGUGACAACCAUAGUGGACAGUGCAGCUAGAUACGGCCAUUACGCACUGUUGAAUUUUGAAAAAUUAACAUCGAGUACCUAUUUUUACCAGUCAUUGGGCUGGGUGCGUGACGGUACCUUUGUCGUUUCUAAACAUUGGUCUUAAAAUGAAUCCUUUGCCCUCUGCCUACUGAUGACACGUUCAUCAACAUGACAGUCUCUCCUUGGAUAAGAAAAUAACAAAGUGAUACCUAGACCUUUUCCUGUCAUAGCUGCCUGGCAUGUCAGUUCUCGUCUUUGCUCCAAAAGGCAUUGAUGGUCAACCUCUUUGAGUUAAGUUCUCUCAGAGGUUCACUUUGUUCCCUGAGUUGAAGUAUUAAGUAGAGCCCAGGUCUCAGCCUGGCCAUAGCAGAAUCUCCAAGUCCGGGACCCUGUUUCAGAUCUAUCCUGUCAUAUCAUGUCUUUUUUAAAAGAGUUCACUAGGAGAUUCUAACAUGUGAGAGGAUUGAAAACCACUGAUCAAAAGAAAAAAAAUUUGUAAAAAAAAAAAAGGAGUUCCUGCUGUGGCACAGUGGGUUAAGGAUAUGGUGUUGCCACAGCUUUGGUGUUGGUCAAAGCUGCAGCUCAGAUUCAGUCCCUGGCCUGGGAACUUCCAUAUGCUAUGGGUGCAGCCAAAAAAGAAAAAAAAAAGAAAAAAUCCACCCAUCAAGUCCAAACCCUGACCAGCCUUUGAGAAUAGCUAAGAUGCUGGCAGCAGCAACUCCUGUUCCCUGGCACAGAGCAGGUCUAGGGUCCUGGCAGUUUUAUUGAUGUUCUAUUUAACAGGUAAUUGGAAAAUACUUAAGAGAAAAGGCUUUGUCGAUUCGAAUUUAGGGCAGCUGAGCAGCUUUGCUGUUUCCCUCUGUGCAAGAAACUGUACGCUAAGCUCAUUGCUACUCUUAGUGUUUUCUGGCAUUCUUGUCCAAACAGAAUUGCUAGUCUCAAACAAACAUGUUAAUGAUUUCAACAACAGUGACGGAUGCAGAAGCAUCCAGUAGUUCCUUAGUAACAGUUUAACAGUAUAAUUAUUUCUAAAGUUAUAGAUAAUUAUUGUUACCCUAGCACAAUAAUUGGAACAGAGUUUCUUACAUGAAAACUGCUCUUUUCCUAGGGCUUCAACUGGUAACAAAAUAAUAGUUUGUGAGAGCAGAUACUGCCCCAUUAUUCAGUGAGAGAAGUCCGACAGCAACCCUGCAAUCAAAGACUCCAAGGUGAGACCUCAGAUGACCAUCUCAUCCAUAGAACAGCUCUGUCCAACUAGGGGAGUUUAUUCCAGGCCAGACUCGUGUCGGGUAAGGCCUUGAAGGAGAGAAUGUGCUGAUACCUAAUGACUUAGCCAGCUCGCCCAGCGCCUUCCUAUUCACGGACCAGCAGAGAGGUGACACCACCAGCCUUCGCCAUUCAGCGUUCUUAACGAGUGGUUUCUAAUCAAUAGAAAGUCUGCUUUUUUAAAUCCAUUUUUCCUAUUUUCCCCCACGCUGAGCAGGAGUUAGCAAUCUUAACAGUCUGAGAAAGAGCACUCCGUCCCAAAGAGAUUAGGAGAAUAAGGUGGAAUUAGCAAGUUAGUAAAAUCACUGUAAAAAUCUAUUUGGCAGAAUCUGAAACAUGGACUGUUCUUCUAGAGAUCAGUCAAGUCAGAGGCAGGGCCAGUCAGGAGAGUCCAGAGUUUAGGGUCAAGCUACUGAACUGAAAUUGGGGUGGCGAGGAGGGAUUAUGGCCUCUUUAGUCUUUGUAUCCCCAGCACCUAGAAGCUCGCUCAAAUGUUUGUUGAAUGCUUCAGAUAGGAAUGUAUGAAAGACCUUAAAUUCAAAUGCAGAUCAGGAAGUUCCCUUGUGGUGCAGUGGGUUAAGGAUCCAGCAUUGCUGCAGCUGUGGCACAGGUUGCUGCUGUGGCGCAGGUUUGAGCCCUGGCCUGGGAAGUUACACAUGCUAUGGAUGCAGCCAAAAAAAAAAAAAAAAAAAAAAAAAAAAGCAGGUCCAAGGCAACAAUGGGAAAAUAAGUUACUCUAGAAAGGAGCAUGGCGUAUCCUGACACUGGAUGGCUGGAAUGAGUCCCAACUUAAACUGGCUGGAGUCAACAUCCAAGGACCAAGACAAAAAAUAAAGACAAAUAAAAUAAACCAGGGGGAGAUGAGGUAGCAAACAGGUUCUGCCUGCCAGCCGGAAACUAUUCCUGGGCUUGUUUCAGCCAAAUGUGUCCGGUGAUCAGACUUUGGUUAGAACGCUUGUACUGCUUGUCUUCUUGGUGUAGCCGCGUAUGAAUUAGGGGAAACAGACAGAAAGGGGGAGGUGAGCUCUUAAGCUUCCUUCUCUACCAGCCACAGCUGCAUGUUCAUGAGUUGAGGACCCAACACUUCCUCUUCUCAUGGACCAAUUAGCACGUUCACUUGGGUCCGACAUCGCCCAUUAUGCCUAUUUCAUGCAUUUCUUGUGGAUGUCAAGACUCAAGCAGGUUCCUCAUGAGUAGAUGUCGGGAUAUUAAAAAGAGGAGCAUGGAUCUAUCUGCAUGAGGAUUACUGCUCCUCAGUUCUUUUAGGACCUGGAGAAAGGUUCAUGGGCGUAUGACCAUUGUCUCCAGUCACCUUGUGGUGGACAGAAUUCUGCCUCCCCCACGAAGAUGUCCACAUCCCAGUCCUCAGAGCCCAGGAAUGACGGAAUUAACAUUGCUGAUGCCCAUAAAAUAGGGGGAGUGUCCUGGAUUAUCCAAGUGGGCCCAAUGUGUGAUCAUAAGGGCCCUUUUAGGCAGAGGAGAGAGGCAGCAGGAGUGUGAGAGGGAGGUGAUGUGACAAAGACCCGACUGGCCACUGCUGGCUUUGAAGAUGGAAGGAGGCCAUGAGCUAAGGAAUGCAGGCCAGAAAAUGCAAGAAAAUGGUUUCUCCCCUACAGCCGCCAGACAGGACUGGAGCCCUGCCAGCACCUUAAUUGCAGUCUAGUAAGACCCAUUUUGGACUCCGGACCUCCAGAACUGUAAAAUAAUACACCUGUGUUGUUUUAAGCCAUUGAAUUUGUUACAGCAGGAGGAAACUAAUACACACCCCUUCAACUUCUUUCAUCUGUGGUUAAUCCAUGGGUACCAGAGAUGGGGGGAAAUGGAGAAAGAAUCAGUGGCUCCGUUGUGUCAGUGUCAGUUGGUUGUGGUCGGGCUGGGAAAUGGCACAUCAACAUCUUUCCAGUAGAACAUGAUUACCAGGCAAGAAAGUCUGUUUAUCGCCUCAAGCUCUAUAAUGAGUCGUGUCCUGCCCCGUGCAUGGCAGAAGAUGACAGGUUCUUUUUUGAACUUGGAACUUUUAGAGUGACAAGUUCAUUUGCAAGAAGUUGAAAAGGUCACUGUGGAAAGGGUCAAGUAUCCCAGCUCUUUCAGGUACGGAUUCAAUAAUUCUUUUAAAAUGGAAGGUUACAUAUCAACUAUUUCAGUUAUGUGUAAUCUCUCCCUCAGAACUCAGCCUUGGUGAAUAGAGUACAGUAAUGUUGCAGGUUGAUUCCUUUCCCUGCCCCCUAAGAAAGACAGUGAAGGCAUGGAAAAUAAAUACUGCUUUUAGGAGACAAGUCAACCCUACUCUGAACGCUUCUCAAGUUUCCCACAUUUGGCAUCUGCAGCUGAUAUUCAACCAAUAUGGUGUUUUUUCUACAAUGUAAAUUGUGGCAGUGCAGGGCCUAACAUAAAGAUCAUUUGGGACCUGUGAAUAUUUACGCUGUUAGUGAGAUAAAUUUCAGAUUUUACUGGUUCUAUAUUGCUUUUCACUUGAUGGUUUCUUAAAGAAUCUGAUCACUGGGUAUACAUUGGUGCUUAUGAACUCUCACUCUUGGUCUGAAAAGCAUCUCUGUAGGAGUCUUUUUAUUCUAAUAGCUUCUGCUGAAUACCUGGAGAAGUUGCUUAAACCUAAUUUCCAGUCACCAGUGAGGACUCCAAUCCAAGAGAAGUGUGCGUAAAUAUUUUUCAUAGUGUACCUUUUAAUCCUAGGAAUUUAUUAACAAAGGCUCGUUCUCUUUGGGGCAACUACCGGAGCUCUUAAACAUGAGUUUUAUUAUGCCUUAGAACUGAUUUCCCCUUGCGAACAUCUCUGCGGUAUCGUGGAAGUCAAAAAGAAACCUCUAACUGUUACUCUGAAUACAGCCUGUCAAGAAUGUGUUUGAUCUGUGUGGCAAAACCAGAGUAAUACGGUCUACCAGUGAUAGGUAUUCUGUUUUUAUUUUUUUAAUUUAAUUUAAUUUUAUUUUCCCACUGUUCAGCAAGGGGAUCAAGUUAUCCUUACAUGCAUACCUUACAAUUACAUCCCCCCUCCCCUUUGUUCUGUUGCAACAUGAGUAUCUAGACAAAGGGUGUUCUGUUUUUAAAUGAAUUCCCUAGCUGCCUGCAGGCCUGGCUCUCUUCCUUCCAGGGUCGAGGCUAAUGUUAGAACUCUUGUUUCGAAGAGCUUAAACCUCGUCAGGUGGAGUUACCAGAGGCUCCUGAAUUCGGCUAGCGGAGGGCGUGAGGGCAAUGCUCCGAGCAUCAACAUCUUCAUUGCUGACAUCUGGGUCCUGACUUGGCGCCUCCACCCUCAUCGUUCUGCUUCCAGCUGAUCCGAGGAGCUUCUCCCCUGAGAGGGAAAAGUGGUCGAAGUGGCCACGCCCCAAUCUUUAGGUACAGGUGAAAAGUAGGCCGCCAGGCCGCAGCAGAUGAGAACGGUGGGUGGGCCCUGCGAGCCUGAGGUCUGAGCGCAGCCACCUCUCCAGCUUCCCGCUCUGUUGGGGAAGCACUUUCUCAUGGUGGCUCCGUGGCAGCAGGAGAGCUGGAGCAGCGUUCUCGACAAUGCAGGCUGCCUCACAAAUUCAGAGACCUUUACAGGCAAAGGAGACGUCUGAAACCAUUUCCUCUGACCCCGCCCCCCCCACCCCGGUUUUGCAAAAGCAGAGGCCAGAGAGGUGAAGUGGUUUGGUCAAGGUCAGAAGGCAAGUUGGCAGUGGAAAAUUCAACUGGGGUCCAGACUGGGCUCCCUCCGUGACCCCCGCUCCAGGGACCCUUCUGCCUGCGGUGCUGGGAACAGAGUACAGUGAAGCCAGGGCAGCAGCAGGGAGAACUGUUAAGAGCCCCCUGUGCUCAGAACCCAAGAAUGCGACGGCGCCCUGGACCCAGGUGAUGGCUGUGAGGACACUGAGAAAUGGAAGCCAGGUGCCAUGUUGUGAGGACACUUGGGCAGCCUUGUAGAAAGACCCACAUGGUGAGGUAUCCAGUCAAGAGUCAUGUGAGUGAGUGUGGAAGAGGAUCCUCCAGCCCCAAACGACUGUAGCUCCAGCUGAAAUCUUGACUGCCAACUUCAUAACAAGACCCCGAGUCAUUACCAUCCAGCUUGCCUGUUCUGGUGCCACUUGAACCUGACAUUUUCCCUUCGGUUCCCCAGUCUGUAUGAAACCAUGGAGCCUGGACUUCCAACACUCCCCGCCUCGCGAGGACAACUCAUAAUCACUGAUUUACGAUUAAUGAACCCGUCCUCAUUUUGAAGGCACUACUGAUCGAUUUGUGUAGGCUGCUGGAUAAUUGUGGCUGCACAUAAUUACAAGCAUCUAGUUCUGUAGAAAAAACUCACUCUUGGAAAAUACAGCGUCUAUUCUGGGGGAUGGAAAUGCUAUAUUUACUGAGUCUGGACACCUGUAUUUGCCUGGACUUUUAACAUCACCUCCGGCUACUGGGCUGCCCUCUUUGCUUUUUAACAGCUUGUUUUGCUUGCCUUAAAGAUUGUUUUAAUAGUUGCACUAUUAUUAAACUAACAGCAGCUCUGUGGGAACAAUACAGCAGAAAUACAAAAGGAA